AUGGUGGGCCUGCAGCUGGUUGGGGCUGCAGCUAGUGGACCUGCAGGGUUGGGGCUGCAGCUAGUGGGGGCUGCAGCUAGUGGGCCUGCAGCCGGUGAGGCUCGCCAAGCAGGCCCGGGCAUCCCCCAGCCCCGCCUCCCUGCGUCCCUGCGGGUGGGCCCCGCACAUCUCCGAGUCACCCUGAGCCCCGGUCCCGCGCCCCCCACCCCGUGCAGAGCAGGAGGGCGGCGCCUCUGGGCCUCGACCCUCGGACAAACCGUCUCCCUGCCGCGGGGUGCGGGCGGGGGCCGGGGCGGGCUGGUCCCCGCGGGGGCCAGGUCUCAGCCCGAGCAGGGCUCCUCGGGGCCGGCGGCGGGGGCCGGGGGGGCGUCCGGGUCCCCGCCCUCGGUGGAGCCGUCGGCGCAGCCCUCGAUGGAGCCCUCGGUGGAGCCGUCGGCGCAGCCCUCGAUGGAGCCCUCGGUGCAGCCCUCGGUGCAGCCGUCGAUGGGGCCGUCGGGGCAGCCCUCGAGGGAGCCGGCGCUGUCCCCCGACAGCAGGCGCGUGACCCGCAGGGCGGGCCCCAGCUCGGCUGCCCCUGCUGUGCCUCCUACUGAUCCUCCCGCCGACAGCAUUUGCAUCAGCGUCACUGGGGCCGUCCCAGACCUUCUUCAGAAUCUGCACGUUUAACGCGAUUCCCGCAGAUUCACAGGCCUGAUUAAGGUCACAAGCGCUGGGGUUUGUUUUUUUUUUGCUUUUGUUAAGAUUUCAUCCAUUCAUUCAUGAGACACACCGAGGCAGAGACACAGGGAGAGGGAGAACCAGGCUCCCUGGGGGAUGCGGAGGCGGGGCUCGAUGCAGGACCCCGGGGUCAUGCCCUGGGCGGGAGGCAAAGGCUCCGUCGCGGAGCCCCCGGGGCAUCCCCAGCGCUGAUCCCUGGGACGCGCACCAACCACCCCCAUUCUUCCCGCCCUGGCCCCGCCCCUCCCCGGCGGGUCCCACCCACAGCCCCUCCCCUCCUGGUUGGCCCCGACCACGCCCCCCGCCGGGUCCCGCCCCU
rnacentral:lncRNA from 1 species